rnacentral:rRNA from 1 species
AGCGUACACGGUGGAUGCCCUGGCAGUCAGAGGCGAUGAAGGACGUGCUAAUCUGCGAUAAGCGUCGGUAAGGUGAUAUGAACCGUUAUAACCGGCGAUUUCCGAAUGGGGAAACCCAGUGUGAUUCGUCACACUAUCAUUAACUGAAUCCAUAGGUUAAUGAGGCGAACCGGGGGAACUGAAACAUCUAAGUACCCCGAGGAAAAGAAAUCAACCGAGAUUCCCCCAGUAGCGGCGAGCGAACGGGGAGCAGCCCAGAGCCUGAAUCAGUGUGUGUGUUAGUGGAAGCGUCUGGAAAGGCGCGCGAUACAGGGUGACAGCCCCGUACACAAAAAUGCACAUGCUGUGAGCUCGAUGAGUAGGGCGGGACACGUGGUAUCCUGUCUGAAUAUGGGGGGACCAUCCUCCAAGGCUAAAUACUCCUGACUGACCGAUAGUGAACCAGUACCGUGAGGGAAAGGCGAAAAGAACCCCGGCGAGGGGAGUGAAAAAGAACCUGAAACCGUGUACGUACAAGCAGUGGGAGCACGCUUAGGCGUGUGACUGCGUACCUUUUGUAUAAUGGGUCAGCGACUUAUAUUCUGUAGCAAGGUUAACCGAAUAGGGGAGCCGAAGGGAAACCGAGUCUUAACUGGGCGUUAAGUUGCAGGGUAUAGACCCGAAACCCGGUGAUCUAGCCAUGGGCAGGUUGAAGGUUGGGUAACACUAACUGGAGGACCGAACCGACUAAUGUUGAAAAAUUAGCGGAUGACUUGUGGCUGGGGGUGAAAGGCCAAUCAAACCGGGAGAUAGCUGGUUCUCCCCGAAAGCUAUUUAGGUAGCGCCUCGUGAAUUCAUCUCCGGGGGUAGAGCACUGUUUCGGCAAGGGGGUCAUCCCGACUUACCAACCCGAUGCAAACUGCGAAUACCGGAGAAUGUUAUCACGGGAGACACACGGCGGGUGCUAACGUCCGUCGUGAAGAGGGAAACAACCCAGACCGCCAGCUAAGGUCCCAAAGUCAUGGUUAAGUGGGAAACGAUGUGGGAAGGCCCAGACAGCCAGGAUGUUGGCUUAGAAGCAGCCAUCAUUUAAAGAAAGCGUAAUAGCUCACUGGUCGAGUCGGCCUGCGCGGAAGAUGUAACGGGGCUAAACCAUGCACCGAAGCUGCGGCAGCGACGCUUAUGCGUUGUUGGGUAGGGGAGCGUUCUGUAAGCCUGCGAAGGUGUGCUGUGAGGCAUGCUGGAGGUAUCAGAAGUGCGAAUGCUGACAUAAGUAACGAUAAAGCGGGUGAAAAGCCCGCUCGCCGGAAGACCAAGGGUUCCUGUCCAACGUUAAUCGGGGCAGGGUGAGUCGACCCCUAAGGCGAGGCCGAAAGGCGUAGUCGAUGGGAAACAGGUUAAUAUUCCUGUACUUGGUGUUACUGCGAAGGGGGGACGGAGAAGGCUAUGUUGGCCGGGCGACGGUUGUCCCGGUUUAAGCGUGUAGGCUGGUUUUCCAGGCAAAUCCGGAAAAUCAAGGCUGAGGCGUGAUGACGAGGCACUACGGUGCUGAAGCAACAAAUGCCCUGCUUCCAGGAAAAGCCUCUAAGCAUCAGGUAACAUCAAAUCGUACCCCAAACCGACACAGGUGGUCAGGUAGAGAAUACCAAGGCGCUUGAGAGAACUCGGGUGAAGGAACUAGGCAAAAUGGUGCCGUAACUUCGGGAGAAGGCACGCUGAUAUGUAGGUGAAGUCCCUCGCGGAUGGAGCUGAAAUCAGUCGAAGAUACCAGCUGGCUGCAACUGUUUAUUAAAAACACAGCACUGUGCAAACACGAAAGUGGACGUAUACGGUGUGACGCCUGCCCGGUGCCGGAAGGUUAAUUGAUGGGGUUAGCGCAAGCGAAGCUCUUGAUCGAAGCCCCGGUAAACGGCGGCCGUAACUAUAACGGUCCUAAGGUAGCGAAAUUCCUUGUCGGGUAAGUUCCGACCUGCACGAAUGGCGUAAUGAUGGCCAGGCUGUCUCCACCCGAGACUCAGUGAAAUUGAACUCGCUGUGAAGAUGCAGUGUACCCGCGGCAAGACGGAAAGACCCCGUGAACCUUUACUAUAGCUUGACACUGAACAUUGAGCCUUGAUGUGUAGGAUAGGUGGGAGGCUUUGAAGUGUGGACGCCAGUCUGCAUGGAGCCGACCUUGAAAUACCACCCUUUAAUGUUUGAUGUUCUAACGUGGACCCGUAAUCCGGGUUGCGGACAGUGUCUGGUGGGUAGUUUGACUGGGGCGGUCUCCUCCUAAAGAGUAACGGAGGAGCACGAAGGUUGGCUAAUCCUGGUCGGACAUCAGGAGGUUAGUGCAAUGGCAUAAGCCAGCUUGACUGCGAGCGUGACGGCGCGAGCAGGUGCGAAAGCAGGUCAUAGUGAUCCGGUGGUUCUGAAUGGAAGGGCCAUCGCUCAACGGAUAAAAGGUACUCCGGGGAUAACAGGCUGAUACCGCCCAAGAGUUCAUAUCGACGGCGGUGUUUGGCACCUCGAUGUCGGCUCAUCACAUCCUGGGGCUGAAGUAGGUCCCAAGGGUAUGGCUGUUCGCCAUUUAAAGUGGUACGCGAGCUGGGUUUAGAACGUCGUGAGACAGUUCGGUCCCUAUCUGCCGUGGGCGCUGGAGAACUGAGGGGGGCUGCUCCUAGUACGAGAGGACCGGAGUGGACGCAUCACUGGUGUUCGGGUUGUCAUGCCAAUGGCACUGCCCGGUAGCUAAAUGCGGAAGAGAUAAGUGCUGAAAGCAUCUAAGCACGAAACUUGCCCCGAGAUGAGUUCUCCCUGACUCCUUGA